CGCACGGGUGCGUAAAUCGCGUAUGCAACCUACCUUAAUCAGGGGGCAUAGCCCGAAGAAAUUCGGGAGUGUAACACCGCAUAAAAUCACAGUAUAGCAUUAUACAAUGAUCAAAUAUUUAUAGGCAUUAAGCAUGGGCAUGCGUGACAUUAGUUAGUUGGCGGGGUAACGGCCCACCAAGACCACGAUGUCUAGGGGAUCUGAGAGGAUGACCCCCCACACUGGUACUGAGACACGGACCAGACUCCUACGGGAGGCAGCAGUAAGGAAUAUUGGUCAAUGGAGGCAACUCUGAACCAGCCAUGCCGCGUGCAGGAAGACAGCCCUCUGGGUCGUAAACUGCUUUUAUUCGGGAAUAAACCUAUCUACGUGUAGAUAGCUGAAUGUACCGAAGGAAUAAGGAUCGGCUAACUCUGUGCCAGCAGCCGCGG
rnacentral:rRNA from 1 species